AAUAACUCCACUUGUGCAGCACCAAUAAAUACAGAAAAAGAAGAAAAGACAAACAAUUAAUGUGCGAUAAGGACAGGUGAAAUUUCUAUUCUUGCAAGCCAAACAGUGCUGAUCAGAGACAAGUGGUAAUUAUUCUUUUGAAUUCAUGAAAAUAACACAAAAAAAUUGUAAGUACAUUUUUUUCCUAAAAAAUGGAAUUUUAUAAUAAUAUGAAAGAGGUAAGUAACAGGUUGAAAAGAUGAUAAUCUCUCCCAACAGAAACAGGCA